rnacentral:lncRNA from 1 species
GUGUAUCCUACAUACCAAGAGUGUUUUCGCAGGAGAAGCAGCUUGUCUGGACUUGGCCAGGAUUUAGGAGUCUGUGUCUACCUGAGAAAGCACAGCUGAGACAGCUGAGACAGAGGUGUGAGAGGACGUGUUGUUGUCCAGAGGGACAGCAGCAGCAGCAGCGGUGGGGAAAAAGACGAGGUGGAGGAGAGAAGUUCCAAAUAUCAGAGAGCUGCUGCUGUCACCACCUUCACAAUCAGCCUCUGUCUGCCUGACCCAGGACCUCACCUCUCCUUCAAUGGCUCCGGCUCUCUCUCUCUCUGUGGAGGAUGGGAAAAAAAGCAGGAAGGUGGAGGGGCACAACGGCUGGCUGGCGGCUUUUCUCACAACGAUAAGAUUUCUCACAAGACAGUCAUGACACCAAACUGUCAGUAACACGUCAUAAAAAAAUGAGACAUUAAUAAAUACCACCAUUGAUUUUGAAUGUUAUAGUAG